rnacentral:rRNA from 1 species
GGGAUUGCCUUAGUAACGGCGAGUGAAGCGGCAAAAGCUCAGAUUUGAAAUCUGUUGCCAUAGAGGCAUCCGAAUUGUAAUCUGUAGAGGAGUAUUCGAGUAUGGCUUUGGCUUAAGUUCCUUGGAACAGGGCGUCAUAGAGGGUGAGAACCCCGUUUACGGCCUUUGUCUUAUGCUUAUGUGAAUCUCUUUCGAUGAGUCGAGUUGUUUGGGAAUGCAGCUCUAAAUGGGUGGUAAAUUCCAUCUAAAGCUAAAUACUGGCAAGAGACCGAUAGCGCACAAGUAGAGUGAUCGAAAGAUGAAAAGAACUCUGAACAGAGAGUUAAAUAGUACGUGAAAUUGUUGAAAGGGAAGCACUUACUACCAGACACACUUGUAGCUGAUCAGCCUCCAAUUUUUGGUGGUGCACUCAGUUGUAAGUGGGUCAGCAUCAGUUACAGCGGUGGGAAAAAGACUUUGGGAAUGUGGCUUCCUUCUGGAAGUGUUAUAGCCCAUUGUGUAAUGCUACCUGUAGUGACUGAGGACCGCGCUUCGGCAAGGAUGCUGGCAUAAUGGUCGUAAGUGACCCGUCUUGAAACACGGACCAAGGAGUCUAACAUCUAUGCAAGUGUUUGGGUGUAAAAACCCUUGCGCGAAAUGAAAGUGAAUGCAGAUGGGAAGCGGAAACGCCCCCCAUCGACCGAUCCUGAGGUUUCC